UACGACUCUCGGCAACGGAUAUCUCGGCUCUCGCAUCGAUGAAGAACGUAGCGAAAUGCGAUACUUGGUGUGAAUUGCAGAAUCCCGUGAACCAUCGAGUCUUUGAACGCAAGUUGCGCCCGAGGCCAUCCGGCCGAGGGCACGCCUGCCUGGGCGUCACGC
rnacentral:rRNA from 3 species